rnacentral:rRNA from 1 species
AGGGUUUGAUUAUGGCUCAGAUUGAACGCUGGCGGCAUGCCUUACACAUGCAAGUCGAACGGCAGCACGGGGGCAACCCUGGUGGCGAGUGGCGAACGGGUGAGUAAUACAUCGGAACGUGUCCUGUAGUGGGGGAUAGCCCGGCGAAAGCCGGAUUAAUACCGCAUACGCUCUGCGGAGGAAAGCGGGGGCUCCUUCGGGACCUCGCGCUACAGGGGCGGCCGAUGGCAGAUUAGCUAGUUGGUGGGGUAAAGGCCUACCAAGGCGACGAUCUGUAGCUGGUCUGAGAGGACGACCAGCCACACUGGGACUGAGACACGGCCCAGACUCCUACGGGAGGCAGCAGUGGGGAAUUUUGGACAAUGGGCGCAAGCCUGAUCCAGCAAUGCCGCGUGUGUGAAGAAGGCCUUCGGGUUGUAAAGCACUUUUGUCCGGAAAGAAGACCUCAGCCCUAAUACGGCGGGGGGAUGACGGUACCGGAAGAAUAAGCACCGGCUAACUACGUGCCAGCAGCCGCGGUAAUACGUAGGGUGCAAGCGUUAAUCGGAAUUACUGGGCGUAAAGCGUGCGCAGGCGGUCCGCUAAGACAGAUGUGAAAUCCCCGGGCUUAACCUGGGAACUGCAUUUGUGACUGGCGGGCUAGAGUAUGGCAGAGGGGGGUAGAAUUCCACGUGUAGCAGUGAAAUGCGUAGAGAUGUGGAGGAAUACCGAUGGCGAAGGCAGCCCCCUGGGCCAAUACUGACGCUCAUGCACGAAAGCGUGGGGAGCAAACAGGAUUAGAUACCCUGGUAGUCCACGCCCUAAACGAUGUCAACUAGUUGUCGGGCCUUCAUUGGCUUGGUAACGUAGCUAACGCGUGAAGUUGACCGCCUGGGGAGUACGGUCGCAAGAUUAAAACUCAAAGGAAUUGACGGGGACCCGCACAAGCGGUGGAUGAUGUGGAUUAAUUCG